GACGAACUCUGGCGGCGCGCCUAACACAUGCAAGUCGAACGAGCGAGAGAGAGCUUGCUUUCUCGAGCGAGUGGCGAACGGGUGAGUAACGCGUGAGGAACCUGCCUCAAAGAGGGGGACAACAGUUGGAAACGACUGCUAAUACCGCAUAAGCCCACGGCUCGGCAUCGAGCAGAGGGAAAAGGAGCAAUCCGCUUUGAGAUGGCCUCGCGUCCGAUUAGCUAGUUGGUGAGGUAAUGGCCCACCAAGGCGACGAUCGGUAGCCGGACUGAGAGGUUGAACGGCCACAUUGGGACUGAGACACGGCCCAGACUCCUACGGGAGGCAGCAGUGGGGAAUAUUGCACAAUGGGGGAAACCCUGAUGCAGCGACGCCGCGUGGAGGAAGAAGGUCUUCGGAUUGUAAACUCCUGUUGUUGGGGAAGAUAAUGACGGUACCCAACAAGGAAGUGACGGCUAACUACGUGCCAGCAGCCGCGGUAAAACGUAGGUCACAAGCGUUGUCCGGAAUUACUGGGUGUAAGGGGAGCGCAGGCGGGAAGACAAGUUGGAAGUGAAAUCUAUGGGCCCAACCCAUAAACUGCUUUCAAAACUGUUUUUCUUGAGUAGUGCAGAGGUAGGCGGAAUUCCCGGUGUAGCGGUGGAAUGCGUAGAUAUCGGGAGGAACACCAGUGGCGAAGGCGGCCUACUGGGCACCAACUGACGCUGAGGCUCGAAAGUGUGGGUAGCAAACAGGAUUAGAUACCCUGGUAGUCCACACCGUAAACGAUGAUUACUAGGUGUUGGAGGAUUGACCCCUUCAGUGCCGCAGUUAACACAAUAAGUAAUCCACCUGGGGAGUACGACCGCAAGGUUGAAACUCAAAGGAAUUGACGGGGGCCCGCACAAGCAGUGGAGUAUGUGGUUUAAUUCGACGCAACGCGAAGAACCUUACCAAGUCUUGACAUCCCUUGACAGACAUAGAAAUAUGUUUUCUCUUCGGAGCAAGGAGACAGGUGGUGCAUGGUUGUCGUCAGCUCGUGUCGUGAGAUGUUGGGUUAAGUCCCGCAACGAGCGCAACCCUUAUGGUCAGUUACUACGCAAGAGGACUCUGGCCAGACUGCCGUUGACAAAACGGAGGAAGGUGGGGAUGACGUCAAAUCAUCAUGCCCUUUAUGACUUGGGCUACACACGUACUACAAUGGCGUUAAACAAAGAGAAGCAAGACCGCGAGGUGGAGCAAAACUCAGAAACAACGUCCCAGUUCGGACUGCAGGCUGCAACUCGCCUGCACGAAGUCGGAAUUGCUAGUAAUCGUGGAUCAGCAUGCCACGGUGAAUACGUUCCCGGGCCUUGCACU
rnacentral:rRNA from 1 species